UUCAUCAAUAUGAAACCCAACGUUUUUAAAUAUGACUAAAUUAUGCACUCCGUCAACUUCACUGUUUGAUUUUCUGUUAAAUUGUUGUCAAAUUAUGCACACCAUUGUCAUUUUCUUUAUUGUUUUCUUUAACACAUCAACAUAAAAAUGACUAUUCUACAUAUCACAUCACCAAUUUAACAUAAAAUCAAACAAUGAAGUUGAAGGAAUACAUAUUUUACUCAUAUUUAAAAACGUUGGGUAUCAUGUUGAUGAA
rnacentral:miRNA from 1 species